UACGGGUAGGGGCAGCGUUGUCCGGAAUCAUUGGGCGUAAAGCGCGCGUAGGCGGCCCUGUAAGUCCGUUGUGAAAGUCAAAGGCUCAACCUUUGAAAGCCGAUGGAUACUGCCGGGCUAGAGUCCGGAAGAGGCGAGUGGAACUCCUGGUGUAGCGGUGGAAUGCGCAGAUAUCAGGAAGAACACCAACGGCGAAGGCAGCUCGCUAGGACGGUACUGACGCUGAGACGCGAAAGCGUGGGGAGCGAACAGG
rnacentral:rRNA from 1 species